rnacentral:rRNA from 1 species
UACGUAGGGGGCAAGCGUUGUCCGGAUUUAUUGGGCGUAAAGCGCGUGUAGGUGGCCAAGUAGGUCCGCUGUGAAAACUUGAGGCUCAACCUCGAGACGUCGAUGGAAACCAUCUGGCUAGAGUCCGGAAGAGGAGAGUGGAAUUCCUGGUGUAGCGGUGAAAUGCGCAGAUAUCAGGAAGAACACCUAUGGCGAAGGCAGCUCUCUGGGACGGUACUGACGCUGAGACGCGAAAGCGUGGGGAGCGAACAGG